rnacentral:tRNA from 1 species
UCCGAGGUAGCUCAGUUGGCAGAGCAGCUGACUGUUAAUCAGCGGGUCGCAGGUUCGAGCCCUGCCCUCGGAG